ensembl:lncRNA
GCGGCAGCUGCUGGGCGAAGCCGGCCACCUUCUCCGGGCGCUUUCAGCCGCCCACGCCCGCUCUUCCGGCCGCGCCAGACAAUCGGGCCCUUUCUCUGCCCAAUUAGCUAUCACUUCUGGAGGCCGGCGCUGUCCAGCGGCCGCGGGCCCGCGGCGGCGGCAGCAGGCCGGGCGGGAGGGGCCGGGCGGCCCGGCGGGAGGGCCGGCGGGAGCUGUGCGGAUGAAAGGGGAGCAGAGGGGCGCGAAGAGGACCCGGGCAGAAAUGUCUCCACCACGCGGCUGGAGUGACCGCACCCUCGUCCCGCCUUUCUCUGCCUGCUGCGUGCUCAUGUGCACACACGAACACACACAGGAGCCCAGCCCUCACUAUGACCUACAAAGGCUCUGUCGAGAGUGCUCCAAGCCUGACUGUGCCCUGGGUGGGAAGCCAGGGCACAUUUCCACCUCCAUCCACAGAGAGAGCCACCAGCCAGUGGCCUGGCCAGGUGUCCAGCGUGUCUGCAGAGUAGACUGUCAGGGUCAUGGAGUCCUCCGCUUCCUGUUCAGAUGUCCCCGGGCCUCUGGAGUUGGGGAGGCCAAGGUCAGCAAGCCCUUCAGGAGAGAAAGUGAACAGUCUCCUUCCCUGGACGGGGUCCAGCCAGCCCAGAAUGGUCUUGUCCUGGGGACAUCCCAGAUCACAGGAGUCACCCCAGCGCCCAGGGAUUCACACCCUCCCAGUCCACCUUUCACCAGGGACUGACCCCAGGAGGGAUGAAAGGCAAGCUCCUCUGCUGGGGGUCAAGGCAAGUUCAAAGGUCACACAGCCCUCACAUCGCCCCCCGAGAUCACGAGUCCCCAGGCCGGAGCGAGACAAAGUGAACCCCUCUUGGAUCGUGGGGGCUGCAGAGACCUGCCUGCAAAAGAAGCGAUUACGUCUCGGUGCUCUUCGUUGUAUUAACCAGGCUUCGCCAGCGGCUCACCAGCGGGAUUCUUUACCAGCUGAGAGCCUGUGCUCCACUACAGAAGACGUCACCAAGGAAGACGCUCCUACACUGAAACUAGAGAGUGGUCCCCACUUGCUGCAGCGAGAGACAAGCCUGCGCAUCAGCUAAGACCCAGCACAGCCAAAGUACCUAAAUAAAAUACUUUUUUAAAACCUGA